ACUGCAGCUCUGAUUUGACUUCCAGCCUGAGAAUUUUCAUAUGCCUUGGGUGUGGCCAAGAAAAAUUGAAAAAAAAAAAGAAAUGCAGUUUUCUACCUCUACUAAUGCAUUUUUCUUAAGGUAUAGUCUGUUUGUUAUCAUGAAAGACACCGCUUUCUUUGAUUAGGUUUACAUGGUAUUAUUCUUUGAUAUUAGCCUUUCUAUAUUCUUGUUUUAAAUAUAUCUUAUAAACAAUAAAUCUAGUUGAAAUUUUUAGUACUAGUUUUAUUAGGAUAUAAUCCGUAUUCCACACAAUCCACCCACUUUAAGUGUACAAUUCAAUGGUUUUUAGUAUAUUCAUGGAGUUGUUCAACCAUUGCCACAUCGUUUAGAACAUUUUUUAUCACCUCCCAAAAGAAACUGUAUCCUUUAUCCAGACAUCUCGCAAGCACCUUGCCUCCACAGGUUUUCCUACUCUGGACAUUUCAUGUACACAGAAGCAUACACUAUGUGGGCUUUUGUGCCUAGUUUCUUCACUUAGCCUAAAGUUUUCAAGGGUCAUCCAUGUAGCAACAUAUAUCGCCUACUUAUUCCUUUUUAUGGCUGAACUAGGUGGAAUCUUUAUAUGUUCUGGAUAUUAAUGCCUUAUUAGGGACACGUAAAAUUCAAAUUUUGGUAUAGGGUAAUCGACUUGUUUUUCCUUUAUCGCCUGUGCUUUUGAAGUCAUAUCUAAGAAAUCAUUGACAAAUUCAAUGCAUGAAGCUUUCCCUCUAUGUUUUCUGCUAAGGAGUUUAUAAUUUUAGGACUCACCUUUAGGUCUUUGAUCCAGUGUGAGUUAGUUUUCUGCAUGGCGUAAGGUAAGGGUCCAGUUUCACUCUUUUGAACAUGGAUAUUCUUUUCUUCCAAUAUCAUUUAAAAAGACUUUCUCCCCAUUUGGUCAUAUAUGUAGGGUUCUCUAUUCUGUGCUAUUAGUUUAUAUAUAUAUAUAUUUUAUUAAAGUAUAGUUGAUUUACAGUGUAUGCCAAUUUCUGCUGUGUUCUUUUGGUUUAUAUGUCUGGCCUUAUGCUCAUGCCAGACUAUUGAUUACUAUAGUUUUGUAGGAGAUUUUGAAAUAAGAGCAUAAUGCUUUUGGCUGCGUUCCUCUUUUUUUUUAUUCCCCAAAUUUUGGCUAUUCUGGGUUCCUUGAGAUCGCAUCUGAAUUUAGGAUGAAUUUUUCUAUUUCCGCAAAAAAAAAAAAAAAAAAAAAAAAAAGGCAUGGGGAUUUUGAUGGGCGUUGUAUCAAAUCUGUAGAUAGCUUUUGGUAGCAUUGACUUCAUAACAAUAUUAUGUCUUCCAGUUCAUGACCGUAGGAUGUCUUUCCAUUGAGUGGUUUCUUCUAAAAUUUACUUCGGCAAUGUUUUGGAGUCGUCAGUGUUUAAGUCUUUUACCUCCAUGACCAAGGGCCUUGUGUGUUCUGCUGUAUUCUUCUGCCUGUAUCCUCUUGCCUCCAAGAACUGAUGGGCCUGCAGUUCCCCUGAAGUUUUUCAUGUGACACGGUACUUAGCAUUGCUUUCAGCAGCCUCCACCCUACUAUUCAAACUAUGUCACUGGUCCUGUCUGAAGUCAAGUUGGAUGAAAAGGAAUUCAGUCCUUGGGCAGCCCCCAGACAUGCCAGAACACUACAAACAAGCUCCGAGGGAAGAAACAGGGAUUGGGUGACCUCCCUCUCAAACCCUCUUGGGAUUUUUCCUCUAGAAUCAUUCAUAUCAUCCCUGAAGUACACCCUCAGGAGGAUCUGAAAAGGAUCUUCAGAAAACGAGGUUCUGUUCGUGGUAAAACCCAUCAGGUUUUAUUACCUAGAAAUGUCUUGUCAUCUCUAUCAGUGAAAGAUAAUUUUGCUGGCUCUAGACCUCUAGGCUGACUGUUAUUUUCUCUAAGCACUUUGCAGGUAUUAUUCCAAUGUAUUCCAAUCUGUUGCUGCUGAGAAACCAAGCGAUUGAUUUAAUCAAUAGCCUUUUACAGGUAAUCUGUCUGCUCUGCUUUUAACGUCUUGUCUUUCGGGUUCAGCAGUUUGCCCAUGAUGUGUCCAGGUAUGUAUUUCUUUUCACUUAUCAGCUUGGGAAUUUGUUGGACUUUCCUUUUUAUUUAUAUUUUUAAAUUUCUUUAUAUAUAUAUUUUUCUACUGCACAGGAUGGUGAAACAGUUACACAUACAUGUAC